rnacentral:rRNA from 1 species
UACGUAGGGGCUAGCGUUGUCCGGAAUUCAUUGGGCGUAAAGAGCGUGUAGGCGGCUCGGUAAGUCCGCUGUGAAAGUCCCAGGGGCUCAAACCCGUCGGGAACUGCCAAGUCGGAAACUCGUCGAGCUAGGAGUCCGGGAAGAAGGCGAAGUGGAAUUUCCUGGUGGUAAGCGGUGAAAUGCGGCAGAGUAUCCAAGGAGGAACACCAAUGGAGAAGGCAGCUCGCUGGGCGGG